AUCCAUCCCCUCCCAAUACACUCCAACACUUUCUUAUGAUAAAGAUCUAGGAAAUAACGGCACUUCCAGUCAGGGGAGGCUACAAUAAAACUGACCUGUUGUGAAAUAAUGCUUGAUUUUAAUAAGUAACAAGUGAUUUGACUGGUGCAGGCCGUCAAAACAAAGGCACUUCGUCCAUAUAGUCAUUUUUUGACGAAAAUGAAAACGUGUCAGUUUGUAACCUUCACGAGGUUGGAGUAAUAACAUGUUCAACUACUUAAGACAUUGGCUCGAAUCUAGAUUGUGUCUUUAGGUUUCGAGACAAUUAACAGCAAAGGAAGAAUUUUUCACUUUUCUCAUUGACUUCUCAAACCCGACCCUGUCUGUUUCGCAAGCUCUUCCGGAAGUCACACAAUGAUGCGCCUCUGGGUUUAGGAACUCCAUGGUAGGGGUCGGGGUUGUUAGGGUAUGGAGGGCCCAAGUAUUCCGGAUAGGCCGACCAUUUCUUCUGUCCUCAGCUACAGCGUAGGCUGCCCCAGCUGAAAGAAAGUUGAAAUGGUGUUGAAAAUUCGGACCACGAGCUGAAGACAUGCAAUGACUUUUGCAAUAGCACGCUUGUUUCAUUUAUGCAUUUCAUAGUUGACAUAUUCUUUUGAGGGAUACUUCCUUGGAGUUAGGGCAAAGGUUCCAAUUAGCCACAGGAAUAAUUAUUUUCAGCCCAGCACCAGUUGAGAUGCUUGCUUAAAGUAAACGACAAUGUGAGGCGCACAUCUAGCGUUCUUUCUCUCUCCCUCACUUUCUCACUCAACGUCUCUCUCUCUCUGUCUCUGCCAGGCAGGUGAGGCCGAUGCCAUCACUCGUGAUGGAGGAGCCAAGACCGAGCUUAGCCACGAAAAAAGACUAUUCAAUUUGUUGAUUAUCGAAAGGAUCUUUGGUUUAGGCAGCUGCGAUGGAUAGUGGGGAGAUGUUCACUGCUGCAAAAUGUGGUCUGGUCCCUGCCAAGGUGGAACACUAUGACGCAGGUCUGUGCAGCUUCCCUGGUGAGGUGUCAUCGUACCAUGUGGUGGCGGUAGUGAGGAAGGACUCUGGAUCUGUUUUGUUACAUCCCUUACCCAGCUCAACUGUUACCUUCUCAAAAUGUUCAUCGGCUUCUCCGGUCAGUGCUCACUACCUGUAUAUCGAUGGGUGGUGGUGGACAGAACCCCUAGAUAACGUUCUAGUUCUGAAAACUCAGCUCACACAGAACUGGUUGGGGUAUUCAUUCAGACACGCACCUCUUUCACACUGGAGCUAGUCUCCUGACAGCUCUCAUUCACUCAGUAGUUAAUAGUGAUAAUAUCUCUUAUCUAAAUCCUCUUACUAUCCAAAUUUCAAUCCUCAGCUUAUUAUCCACAUUUCAAAUCAGCAUAACACGUCCUUUCCACACUCACACAGCUCUCACAUCCCCAUUCACUUAGUACUAUUCCCAAACGCACUCAGUAAUCUCCCUUAUUACCAUCUCUGUGCAUUUUCAAUGAUUCUCGUCGUUACUUGCUACACAUAUAAAAUAACAUCACGUGCUCAAUAACACCUUGUGCUAUUUGUAGUGGCUGCAGACCACGUAGACACUUCAACAAAGGCCUACAGACAGCUGUCAGUGGGACUUUCCAUGGUACCGUUACUCGCCCUCGCUCUAGUCUUCUCACCAUAAGACUAGUUAAUAGCCUUCUCAUUAGACUAUGGGUACCUUUUUAUUGUUCAAUUUAGUUGGUUUUAUGAUAUACAGUACCAGUAUAAAGUUUGGACACACCUACUCCUUCAAGGGUUUUUCUUUAUCUUUUCUAUUUUCUACAUUGUAGCAUAAUGUA